AUGGAAUACCGUCGGCAGUCAAUCACCAUGACGAAAAGAAGCCGUGGGACCAUCCUCGACGACCUCCCCGAGUGGAUUAUCAUCGAAGAGAUCCUCAUCCGGUUGCCACCAAAGGACGUUCUUCGCUGCCGCGCUGUCCGCAAGUUGUGGUGCAGUGCCACCUCCACCGACAAGUUCAUGCUCGGCAACUGCCUACGCCAGCCGUCGCUCCCUGUUAUCAACCAGGAUAUCCCUGGGCAGGAAGGAGUCACCUUCGUUGUCUUCCGUGACAACGGUGUCGGAGCCUCCAAUCAAAAGCUCUGGCCAAUCAUUCAACACUCUAAGUUCCAUAAUCUCCUGGGGGCCUGUGAUGGCUUUCUCAUCUUGUCCGAUGCAUCCCAUUUCUGGAUCUGCAAUCCAGCCGCUCGCAGAUGUGCUCCGCUACCACAACCUCGAGUUCCAUCGGCAGGGGGGUCCUGCAUCUACAUAGCUGGCUUUUACCGGCACCAUCCAUCUGGAGAAUACCGGGUGCUCUGGUUCUCGCAUGGCCAUGAACGUGGCUACAUUCUCUCGGCAGGAUCUGACAAGCCGAGAAUGAUCAGACGGCCGUCAGUGUCAUCGCGUUUGUCGAAAUGUAUGCACGAAGGGGCUUUUGAUUCCUGCUAUAGUUCACAAGUCAACCACCGCGGCAGCCUGCACUGGUUAACAGGAAUUGACAUGGAGACUCCCAUGGACAUUAUGGUGUUCGACACUGUAACUGAGAAGUUCCGGUGGAUGCGCAGUUCUGGCCAGUUGGGCCGUCAGGUGUCAUUGUGGGAGAUGGACGACAAGCUUGCUUCGUGCAGCACCAAUGAUGCCAGCAUAGAGAUUUGGAUGAUGCAAGACUACGAGGCUGAGGCCUGGGCCUUGAAGUACCGGAUUAACUUGUUAGUGAUGAAGACAUCACCACAGUUUGAGUAUAUUUCUAAGAUGUCACUGCUUAACCAGCGUGAGCUGCUGAUCUGUUGUCACAAUCCAUUGGACGGUCCUGACUAUCUUUUGCACUGUGACAUUGACGGAAAGUUUUUGGGAUAUUACGAAAUUAAAGGGGGAACAUAUUCUGUUUACUUCACUAAUCAGUACUUUCAGGAGAGCAUGAUUCCACUUCCGUACAGCAAGAUGCAAGAAGGUGGUUUGGAUAAGGAGCCUUCAUUCUUCUAG
rnacentral:rRNA from 1 species